rnacentral:rRNA from 1 species
CUUGGCGGGAAGGGAUCAUUUAAACGAAGUUUUGAAAAUCGGGGAGGCUUGUUGCUUGGGUGGCGGGAAACCGCCACCGUCGUGCACGGCCUCCCUGUGCUCGAUCCCGUUUCAACCCCCCUGUGCACCUUAAUCGAAGCGACUAGUCCCCUUCUUUUUGUUCGAGGGUCGAAAGCUUUGACUUUCUAUCAAACGCCUUUGUAUGUUUUGUGGCACGUAUCGGCUCCUUUGCGGGGCGAAAUAAAUACAACUUUCAACAACGGAUCUCUUGGCUCUCGCAUCGAUGAAGAACGCAGCGAAAUGCGAUAAGUAAUGUGAAUUGCAGAAUUCAGUGAAUCAUCGAAUCUUUGAACGCACCUUGCGCCCUUUGGUAUUCCGAGGGGCAUGCCUGUUUGAGUGUCAUGUUAAUCUCAAGCCCGCCUUGUCUUUGUUGACCUGGUCGGUUUGGACUUGGAGGCGUUGCUGGCGUACACUUGCUAUGCCGGCUCCUCUUAAUUGCAUUAGCUGGACUUUGGUUCGCAUCGACGGUGUAAUAACAGUAAAGCGUUCGCCGGGUGCUUGCCUAACGGGUCUGCUUCUAAUCGUCUCAGGACAAGGUCGACUUUGACCUUCUCUGUUGCUUUGACCUCAAAUCAGGUAGGACUACCCGCUGAACUUAAGCAUAU